GCGGGUGUGGCGGAAUUGGUAGACGCGCUAGACUUAGGAUCUAGUAUCUCAGAUGUGUAGGUUCGAGUCCUAUCACCCGUAC
rnacentral:tRNA from 1 species